rnacentral:snRNA from 1 species
AGCGCUUCUCCGCCUUUUGGCUGAGAUCAAGUGCAGUAUCUGUUCUUAACAGUUUAAUAUCUGCUAUGUCCUCCAUCCAUGUCCUUUGUUCCAGUGAAGGGACGAAGGAGCCCCAGC